AUUGAACGCUGCGGCAGGCCUAACACAUGCAAGUCGAGCGAGCGGCGGACGGGUGAGUAAUGCUUAGGAAUCUGCCUAUUCGUGGGGGACAACAUCUCGAAAGGGAUGCUAAUCCCGCCUACUAAUAGAUGAGCCUAAGUAGGAUUAGCUAGUUGGUGGGGUAAAGGCCUACCAAGGGGACGAUCUGUAGCGGGUCUGAGAGGCUGAUCCGCCCACACGGGACUGAGACACGGCCCAGACCCCGACGGGAGGCAGCAGUGGGGAAUAUUGGAAAAUGGGGGGAACCCUGACCCAACCAUUCCGCGUGUGUGAAGAAGGCCUUAUGGUUGUAAAGCACUUUAAGCGAGGAGGCGUUACUCGCAGAAUAAGCACCGGCUAACUCUGUGCCAGCAGCCGCGGUAAUAC
rnacentral:rRNA from 1 species